ensembl:lncRNA
AUAUUGUUUGCCUGACAAUCAAAGUGUUGAUGAGUGUCAGAUAAUGUCUAGUUUGUGCUCGGAAGAAGUUGCCAGUAAAUUUAAAUUAAAUUAAAUUUACAAAAAGCUGGGCAAGCAUGUGUGGCUGCUGGAACUAUGGUAGAUGACCAUGUGUGACAAUCAGAAAAGAAGACAAGAAAGCAAAUUCAUAAUGCUUUUGUUGAAAGCACAUACACAUUAACAGUAAAAAAAAAAAAAAAGAUAAAAAUUACAACCCAAAGUGUGCCAUUAUUACUUGUUGUCAUGGAAACAAUGCAGUUUUUUUUUUAAAUUUAAAACACACAAAAAAAUUCAAGUUUACAGUUGACAGUUACAGGUUAUAAUAGACCAGCCAGCUAGCUGUGCAGCUAAUCAGCAGCACGCGCUUCAAAAAGUUUCCAUAUUGCGUCACCGGUGCGCAGCUGCAGAGGGGCUGCGCGUGCCGGGUAGGUGCGAUCAGUGGUGCUGACGUCUGUCGGUCUGAAUGAGCGGCUGCCUGGUGUCCUGCACCAGGCACAGGUGUUUGUGAAUGGGGACUUCGUAGUGACAAAGCACAAACCUUUAUAUAUCUGUGUUGGGCGUGUCUGCCAUAGCAAAAGUGGUGACACUGAAAAACUCAGUUACCAUGGAUACAAAAAUUGCCCACAUCAUUUUUUGUCAGAGGCCUUGUAUAAUCCCUUUCCUUUCCCUGUAAUUUAUUUUAUUUUAUUUUAUUUUAGUUUUUUUUUUAUUUAUUUUUUUUUUUAAUGUAUUUAUUUGUUUGUUUGUGUGCCCGCGUGCUGGUUUCUUAGCUGGAGCUGCUUUAAUUGGACUCCUUUUCCCGUUUCCUCUGAUUCAUUCCAGGAAUAUUAGAGUGCGGGGCUUUGACUAUUAGCCAAACAACAUUAGUGAAAUGAGCUUUUGUCUUGAAUAAUUAUACACAGUGAUAACAAAAGAGUUAGCACGCUGUUGACGCACUGCACAGUGAUAAUGGGUUCUUCCUUGUUUUUCAAAUAUUUUAUAAUCGCACUCGUGCUAUGAGCUAUUAGCAACACCCCUGUGAAAUUUAAUCAGAGGGCACAGAUGAAGAAGCAAAAGGCGGCUCAUUGUUUGAAUGCUGGGAGCCAGAUCUGAACUUGAGCUGUGUGUGUGUGUGUGUGUGUGUGUGUGUGUGUGUGUGUGUGUGUGUGUGUGUGUGUGUGUGUGUGUGUGUGUGUGUGUGUGUGUGUGUGUCCGGCACUGUCUGGGCGGCACGACAUGCCUGGGUAACUUCUAUUUAGCGUGCUGCUGGCCAAUGAAAGAUGCAUGAUGACUGAGACCGGCAGUUAUAAAUCUAUUACAUCAGCAGGGGUGCGUGUUCACGCUGUUGUAACUCUAUUGGUUUCCCAUCAGCUGCUUAAAUACCCAGACUGCACACAGGACACUGUGCAGUCCAUAGUCUAAAUCACAGCCAUCCUCAAGCCUGUGCGCAUGAAGAAUGGUCGCGUCCCCGAAAUUACAACAGGGAGGUCUUUCAGGCAUAAAUUCCCUUGAAUGAGAUUAAGGAAAAUACGGCUUUUAAAAGCUUAUUUAUGUGGUCAGGAGAGAAAAAAUAACAAACGCAUGAGUUUAUUUCCUUGGCAACAGCCUGGUGUUUAAAUAUAGAAUGAGACAAUCGUACUCCAUUGGGGCUAUUUUUUUUGUCUUUUUUAUUUUGUUUAAGAUACUAAGAAUGAAAGUCAUUGUUAAUGGCAUCACACAACGUACAUCUCCCAAGGCAGUGUCUGAGUCUGGCCUGUCCCACCAGGAUGCCUCUAAUGGGUAAAUAGCAGUGGGAGCUGGUGGUGGGUAGGAGAGUCUGAAAGCAGACCUAUUAUAUUCGAAACCGGGAUUUAUUAUUCCUCAAAAGAAAAAGAAAAAAGUAAGACCAUUAUCUACUUUUGUGUGGUCUUCUCCCUUCUUUCCCCCCCCCAUACCCGUGUUAUGCAAUCAUGUAUUUCUUUUAUUCCAAGCCUGGGAGGCUCGAGCUCUGACGGAGGAGGAUAGAGGACCUCAACAGGUGGAGA